rnacentral:piRNA from 1 species
UAAAGUUAGUGGUAAGCCUGGCCUCAGGUC